AACGAUGUGACACUCGAGAAUUGACGUGAAUUGCAGACACACCGAACUUGAAUACUUUGAACGCACAUUGCAGCGUCGAUCAAAGAUGUCGACGCUACGCCUGUCUGAGGGUC
rnacentral:rRNA from 1 species